UGCCUUUGCAUGCAUGUGUGGAAGGCAGAGGAAGGUGCAGACUGGUCUCCUCUGUCUACCUUACUCCCUGAGACAAGGCCUCACUGAGCUUGGAGCCCCCUUUUCCUUUCCCCCAGCAACCCUCCUUUUAUCCUAUCCAGUGCCACUCUUGCUGGCACAUAUGGCCAUGUCUGGCAUUUUAGCGUAUGAAUGCUGGGGAUUUGAACCAGGAUCUUUAUUGUUUGCAUAGCAAGUGCUUGUACCCACUGAGCCUUCUCACCAGCUCUGGUGCCAUUUAUUUUAAUUUGCUUAGAAUAAGACCUAAAAGUAUGAGGGUAAGAGAUACUUGUGUAAUUGCCCAGUAUUGAAGAACCAUGUUUCCCAGCUGUUUCCACAGCAAGACUAGACAACGGAAGCUUUACUGAGUUGUGUCUGUGGAAAAUAGGUACAAAUGUAUGGCAAAUGCAUGAAGAUCAGAGAUACAGUCAUAGAAGUGAAAGCGGGGAAGAUAGAAACACUCCAUGAGAGAAUUAGAACACCGUCUCUACCGUAAUGCUUUGAAAGGCCAUUUCACUGGGACUGCUUACAUGAACAGUAUCCUUAACCUCAUCCAACUAGAGCCCCUACUGUUUGUGCUUCGUCCUGUAAGGUGCAUCAGGUGGAUUUGAGCUCCUGGUAUUUGUAGAUCAUGGUUGGGUAUAGAACCCUAAGUUGCACUGAGUUUACUGUUUUCAUGAGCAGGACAUUAACCAUGUCCUGCUGCGCUGAGUGGAUUCUCAUCUGUUUAGUUUCUUAUAGAUUUGACCUGGUGAGUUGGUGGUGCUUGCUCCUUCCUGAGCAAAUGAUCUAUUUGUUCCCAGUGCCUUCAGCUUUUGAUAAUCUCCUGGCACCGCCAGUGUCUGAAAUCCCAUCAGAGGGGAAACAGAGGGAGCAUCUUGCCAGAUUUGUUUCAGGAAGACCGUGGAGGAGGGUGGCCGAGAGAGCGGCCCUGGGUGGAUAUGUCCAGAGGCAGGACUUUUUUUUUUUUUUUUUUAAUCUUUGUUUUACUGCUUGAUUUCGGAUGAUAUUGGUCUGAUUCCGUUUUAGUGUCAUUCUGUUUCAAAAAUGAGGCUGUUUAUGGUACAGACUUGCUCCAAGGCUGUGAAUAUGAAAUAGUUAUUAGUUUGAAUAGGUCUUGCUAUAUUCUCAGAAAGCUGUAUAUAGUCAUGUGUCAAGGAUGCCACAGCCGCUAUGGUUGGUAUAAUUUUGCUCUGUGACCCUCAGGAAAUGACAGUUACUCACUGACACACUUCUCACAUGUCCCUUUGUCAAGGGACACUAGUUGCAUUUUGCAAAUGUAAGAGAUUUGUAUUAUUUACUUUAGAAUAGCAGAAGAUGACACUGAAAAAGUAGUAUCCACUAGUAGACUAAAGAAUUCUCCAACUGUGUUCCUGCCUGCCUGAGGGAUCCAUGGAGCCCGGUUGUUACAUAGACAGGCUAUACAUAUGCUGUUGCAUUCAGCCAUUUCCCCUUCGGUAAGGGUCUCGAGUUGAAUGUUUCUCUCGGCAUCUAAGUCUUGUACUGAGAGUGGUAUCUGGCACUGGGCUGGUUUAACUGAGUCUGAGGUUUCCAGGCAGUGUCUGUGGCUCAGCUAUGACCACAUGCUGCAGCUGCCUUUUCUGCCCUCCAGGUCCACGUGUGACAUUAAGGCAUUCUGGCACUUGCCAUUUGGACCUGUACUUGCUGGAAAAUGUCAGGACUUCUAGAUAGGAUGAAGACAGAUCUAGCUGAUCCUCCUCUCUAUCCCUGAAGGAGGCCGAGGACAUUGUGGGUAAAUUGAUGAGUGGCACACUUCCCUUAGUUCUGAGAGAUUGUACACAAAAUCUGUGUCCAAAGCUUUGUUGUGUUUAAGAGUUCUUAUUUUCCCUCGAACCUCCUUGGUAUGACAAUAAAGAUGCUGUUUGGAUAAGCAAGUGUUUUAAUAAUCACUUCUGAGUUUCAUUAGAUAAGAGUUCAGACAAGAGUUCCCUUCAUUGCUCCUCCCUUAUGUUUAUGAAAAACCUCAGUGGAGACUGCAGCUUUUGGAGCUGGGCUACUGCUGUGACAGAUCACCAUCCCAUGUGUACCUGGUGGCUUUCACAUCUUCACCCAGGAGUUAGAGCUCCUAUUCCAGGUCUUUGUUCUUCCUCUGCUGUUUUCCCUUUACUAUUUGGGGUUUUAAGACCCAGGAGUUAGUUGUUAAGCUAAGGCAAAACAAGUGAUAACUUAGUUAAGUUUGCUUCUCAAAGUUACUGAUGUUUAGUGGGGUGAAGAAUGGAACUGAACUCUGGCAUAUAAGUGAAAAUUUAGAAGACUAUUUUGCUGCUGCUGCUGCUGCUAUUGCUUUGUUUAUUCUUACCUUGCAAAUUAAGGACUGAAUUAUAAUUGGCUCUAUGCAAUUUAGUAAACUAUUGCCUAAGUUACAUUCACCUUGAAUCUCAAGUCUGACUUAACCACGGUCUGACUCAAAGUGAUUUGGGAAAGGUGCUUCCAUAACUUUAGUCUUUCAAUU
rnacentral:lncRNA from 1 species